UGCUGCAGCUCACGUUGCCAACAAGGCUGGUUGCAGCUGUACAGGUGACUGAGGGAGUCAACUUCAGGACUGAGCUGUGUUGUGAGGCAGUGACAGAGCAUGACUUCAGACACAGAAGAGAACUGCCUGGAGCUGGGGAGAGAGUAUUUAGUAAAGAAAGGGUUUGCUCCUGCCUCCCUUUCAGCCAUCUCAGCAACUUAAAGAGGAGGGCAACAUACUUUAAGAGUGCAUGCUGUGUCUUUGCAGUCCACCACUGACGUAGGUGGAUGUGUGAGUAAGACUCAUUUUGUUGUUAAUUUAUCUUCUUGAUGCUCAAUAUCAGACUCCAUUUGCAUUGACUAAAUAACUGUGGAGUCGUUAUGAAGGCUAUACGAACUACAUUACUACCCUUGGAAGUGAUUACUGCUGAAUUUUUGCCUCUUAAGCCUCCAAACAGGAUAUUGCAUUAUUAUAUGCAAUUCUCUUCCCUGAUGUAGUCUGAGUAUUGGCCAAACCAUCAGUGUACCACUGUGAUUCAUGCAGAACACUGAUCUCUAUGGAGCCGAAGUAAGUAUACAUAAGACUGUAAAUGAUUUUCAUUGCUAUGCCCCCCCUUUUUUUUUAACAUGGAGCUCUCACUCUUGAUGAAAUACUAUUAGAUGCAAUGUAGCAGCCAGAUUGCCAGAUGCUACUAAAUCAUCAGAUCAUGGCUGGUGUCCUUACUCGCCUGUCUUUUCUGUGUAGAGAUUACAGGUUUGCCUGUUGGAGACUCGUGGACAUUGGAAUUCUUUUAAACAUGAUUGGUUUCCAACAGACACAUAUGGCUCUCAGACACAUGGAUAUCAGUCCAUAUGUGUGAUAGGUAGAACUACAGAACGAGUGUCGCGGAUGUUCAUCCCUGAAGUUGAAUUUUCAGAGCUGGAGGAAUAGUUCGAAGCUGAAGUUGGUCUUCCAACCUGGUUAUGAGAAUUACAGAGUAUAAACCAUGCCUUACAUGCGUCAUUUGCUUUGGAAAAUAAAAACCUGUUUUGAAAGUAUUCGAAUAUGCAGAAAUGAGGAGUGUGGUACAUGCCAGUCAGUGAGGGCUUCCUCUUAGUUGCCGUGUUUAUUGGCCUGAGCCUGGUGCAAGGCACAGCAGCCAUUUGAAUAAGACACGCACAAGCCAGCUGGUAGCAUUGGGUGUGUUGGGCUAGUGAGCAGCAGAUUUCUUUCUUACUUAGAUCAUGUUCUUAUCUUUUGCUUGUCCAUGUUUAUAUUGGAGUAGCGCUCAGAGGCCCCAGAACUGAAGAAAAUAACCACACUGCAGACAUUUAUGAAGUUGUUAUGACUGCUAACGCUUCUUCCUGCUCCACUGCUACAAACUCUGCCAUAGUGCAGCAAAGAACUGAAUGGCUUCCGAAAAAAGUGUGUGAGGAAACGUGAGGAAGUGGCUGGAAGGAAUGGAGAGAG